UGAGCCAAGUUUAGGGUUUUCUCAAAACCCAAGCAGUAUUGAACUGAAGAGUUUGAUCAUGGCUCAGAUUGAACGCUGGCGGCAGGCCUAACACAUGCAAGUCGAGCGGAUGAAGGGAGCUUGCUCCUGGAUUCAGCGGCGGACG
rnacentral:rRNA from 1 species